rnacentral:misc_RNA from 1 species
GAUGAAGAACGUAGUGAAAUGCGAUAAGUAAUGUGAAUUGCAGAAUUCAGUGAAUCAUCGAAUCUUUGAACGCACAUUGCGCCCCCUGGCAUUCCGGGGGGCAUGCCUGUCCGAGCGUCAUUGCUGCCCUUCAAGCCCGGCUUGUGUGUUGGGUCGUCGUCCCCCCCGGGGGACGGGCCCGAAAGGCAGCGGCGGCACCGCGUCCGGUCCUCGAGCGUAUGGGGCUUUGUCACCCGCUCGAUUAGGGCCGGCCGGGCGCCAGCCGGCGUCUCCAACCUUCUAUUUUACCAGGUUGACCUCGGAUCAGGUAGGGAUACCCGCUGAACUUAAGCAUAUCAAUAAGCGGAGGA